GACGAACGCUGGCGGCGUGCUUAACACAUGCAAGUCGAACGGAAAGGCCCUGCUUUUGUGCUGUGCCCGAUUGGCGAACGGGUGCGUAACACGUGAGUAACCUGCCCUUCACUUUGGGAUAACUUCAGGAAACUGGGGCUAAUACCGGAUAGGAUCUCCUGCUCCAUGGUGGGGGUUGGAAAUUUUCGGCGGUUGGGGAUGGACUCGCGGCUUAUGAGCUUGUUGGUGGGGUAGUGGCUUACCAAGGCUUUGACGGGUACCCGGCCUGAGAGGGUGACCGGCCACAUUGGGACUGAGAUACGGACCAGACUGCUACGGGAGGCAGCAGUGGGGAGUAUUGCACAAUGGGCCGAAGCCGGAUGCAGAAACGCCGCGUGCGGGAUGACGGCCUUCGGGUUGUAAACCGCUUCCGCCUGUGACGAAGCGUGAGUGACGGUAAUGGGUAAAGAAGCACCGGCUAACUACGUG
rnacentral:rRNA from 1 species